rnacentral:rRNA from 1 species
ACUCCGAAAUGGCAUUGGAAACUACCUUGCUCGAGGGUUGGAGGGGGGACUGGAAUACUUGGUGUAGCAGUGAAAUGCGUAGAUAUCAAGUGGAACACCAGUGGCGAAGGCGAGUCCCUGGACAACUCCUGACACUGAGGCACGAAAGCUAGGGGAGCAAACAGGAUUAGAUACCCUGGUAGUCCUAGCCGUAAACGGUGCACGUUUGCUGUAAAAGGAAUCGACCCCUUUUGUGGCGGAGCCAACGCGUUAAACGUGCCGCCUGGGAAGUACGGUCGCAAGAUUAAAACUCAAAGAAAUUGACGGGGGCCUGCACAAGCGGUGGAGUAUGUGGCUCAAUUCGAUGCAACGCGAAGAACCUUACCUGGCCUUGACAUGCAUAUAGUAGAAGGGUGAAAGCCUGACGAGGU